rnacentral:rRNA from 1 species
GACGGAGGAUGCAAGUGUUAUCCGGAAUCACUGGGCGUAAAGCGUCUGUAGGUGGUUUAAAAAGUCCACUGUUAAAAAUUGAAGCUUAACUUCAAAGAUGCCGUGGAAACUUUUAAACUUGAGGAUGAUAGGGGUAGAGGGAAUUUCCAGUGGAGCGGUGAAAUGCGUAGAUAUUGGAAAGACCACCAAUGGCGAAGGCACUCUACUGGGCCAUUACUGACGCUCAUGCACGAAAGCGUGGGGGAGCAAACAGG